AUUGAUGGGGAGCAAUUGACUUUUGAGGUUGGAAGUUUUCAAAAACUUAAGCAACUAGAUCUCCUUGAAUUGGAGGGAUUGAAGUCGAUAAUAAUAAAGGAAGGAGCAUUGCCUCUUCUUAAAGAGCUAAGGAUUGGGUCUAUCCCACAACUAAAGAAGGUACCCUCUGGCAUCCACGACCUCCAAAAACUCAAAACUCCUGCGUUUAUUGAUAUGCCGAAAAAAUUCUUAGAUAGAAUGCAACCCCAACCCAACCAAACCAAGGCAAAGACUAUUGGAUUGUUGAGCAUAUACCUAAUGUCUUGUUCUGGUCUCGGUGGGGGCUUUUCUGGAUAUUGGAACAGCGGCACUCUUCAAAAAUAUUUUGAGAGGAAGGUGAAAAACCAAAGGGUUAUUGAAGCUGAAUAAUGAAUCUUACGGUUACGGAUGCAAAUUCAAUUCCAGGUCAAUUACCGGCAACACAUACAGUUGAAGCGAAAUCAAUGGCAGAGGCCCCAGAAUUCAAGUACUCCAAGCUGCCAAUAACCUUAUAAUCGAACAAACCCCUUUUAGGGCAAUGGUAGAGGGCGACGUCGUUUUAGCAGUUUUGAGCCAUUUGAGCCACACAAAUUGUGGCUCUCAAACAUUAUUCCCCCUUUUAUCACCGUUGAUUUUUAUUUCCUUUGGAUUGCAAAGUAAAAAGUGUGACAUCUCUGUCAAGAUGGACAUGUUUAUUACUGUUUUUAUUGUUUUUUGGCAAGGCAGUGUUUUGGAUUUCUGUUAUCAAGACUUAUUUCGUGAUAACCACAACUGUGUAACUUUAAUUGAGACAAACAUAUGAUCAUACAUUCCUCGUUGUAUCUAUUCUC